rnacentral:rRNA from 1 species
UACGAAGGGGGCUAGCGUUGCUCGGAAUCACUGGGCGUAAAGCGCACAUAGGCGGAUUGCUAAGUCAGGGGUGAAAUCCUGGAGCUCAACUCCAGAACUGCCCUUGAUACUGGCGGUCUCGAGUCCGGGAGAGGUGAGUGGAACUGCGAGUGUAGAGGUGAAAUUCGUAGAUAUUCGCAAGAACACCAGUGGCGAAGGCGGCUCACUGGCCCGGUACUGACGCUGAGGUGCGAAAGCGUGGGGAGCAAACAGG